rnacentral:rRNA from 1 species
UACGGGGGGGGCAAGCGUUGUUCGGAAUUACUGGGCGUAAAGGGCGCGUAGGCGGUCAGACCAAGUCGAGUGUGAAAUUCCAGGGCUUAACUCUGGCACGCUCGCUCGAUACUGGUCGGCUAGAGUGUGGAAGAGGAUGCUGGAAUUCCCGGUGUAGCGGUGAAAUGCGUAGAUAUUGGGAGGAACACCAGUGGCGAAGGCGGCUCACUGGACCGGUACUGACGCUGAUGCGCGAAAGCGUGGGGAGCGAACAGG